UACGAAGGGUGCAAGCGUUACUCGGAAUUACUGGGCGUAAAGCGUGCGUAGGUGGUUCGUUAAGUCUGUCGUGAAAGCCCCGGGCUCAACCUGGGAAUGGCGAUGGAAACUGGCGAGCUAGAGUGCGGUAGAGGGCGGUGGAAUUCCCGGUGUAGCAGUGAAAUGCGUAGAGAUCGGGAGGAACAUCAGUGGCGAAGGCGGCCGCCUGGACCAGCACUGACACUGAGGCACGAAAGCGUGGGGAGCAAACAGG
rnacentral:rRNA from 1 species